CAGUCGCCACGGUAAAACAGAGGAUGCAAGCGUUAUCCGGAAUGAUUGGGCGUAAAGCGUCUGUAGGUGGCUUUUCAAGUCCGCCGUCAAAUCCCAGGGCUCAACCUGGGAACUGCAUUUGUGACUGUAGAGCUGGAGUGCGGCAGAGGGGGAUGGAAUUCCACGUGUAGCAGUGAAAUGCGUAGAGAUGUGGAGGAACACCGAUGGCGAAGGCAGCCCCCUGGGCCAAUACUGACGCUCAUGCACGAAAGCGUGGGGAGCAAACAGGAUUAGAUACCCGCGUAGUCCCUGUCUCUUAUAC
rnacentral:rRNA from 1 species